UGGGGAAUAUUGCACAAUGGGCGCAAGCCUGAUGCAGCAACGCCGCGUGAACGAUGAAGGUCUUCGGAUCGUAAAGUUCUGUUGCAGGGGAAGAUAAUGACGGUACCCUGUGAGGAAGCCCCGGCUAACUACGUGCCAGCAGCCGCGGUAAUACGUAGGGGGCUAGCGUUAUCCGGAUUUACUGGGCGUAAAGGGUGCGUAGGUGGUCUUUCAAGUCGGUGGUUAAAGGCUACGGCUCAACCGUAGUUAGCCUCCGAAACUGGAAGACUUGAGUGCAGGAGAGGAAAGUGGAAUUCCCAGUGUAGCGGUGAAAUGCGUAGAUAUUAAAAAGAAUACCGGUGGCGAAGGCGACUUACUGGGCCCAUUCUGACGCUGAGGAACGAAAGCGUGGGUAGCAAACAGG
rnacentral:rRNA from 1 species